rnacentral:rRNA from 1 species
AUACAGAGGGUGCGAGCGUUAAUCGGAAUUACUGGGCGUAAAGCGCGCGUAGGCGGCUACUUAAGUCAGAUGUGAAAUCCCCGGGCUCAACCUGGGAACUGCAUCUGAUACUGGGUAGCUAGAGUUUAGGAGAGGGAAGUAGAAUUUCAGGUGUAGCGGUGAAAUGCAUAGAGAUCUGAAGGAAUACCAGUGGCGAAGGCGGCUUCCUGGCCUAAAACUGACGCUGAGGUGCGAAAGCGUGGGUAGCAAACGGGAUUAGAUACCCUAGUAGUCC